CCUGGGGUAAUCCCUCACAACAAAAAGAUGGAAAAACAACCACGGUACUUUCCCCCCCAAAAAACGCCCUGGUUCUGGUCCCAUGCAUGGCAAACCUCCCACCAGCUUGGAGCAGCAGCACAUCAUGUAGGGCCUUGUAGCCAGGUACCUGGACCUCGAGACCGGGGGCCUUGGAGAUGUCAGCAAGGCUACGGGGUGAUUUGCUCACCGCGAGGCUCUGCAAUUUAGUGGCAUGGAACUAGUGCCUCAUUUCGGAGAACUCCAUGGCGAGUGAACAGUGUAAGGCUGGUGGGGCAAGAAGUUUAUUGGAAGGUUAUGCCAUGGUGAUCAAUAUUCAUGACAGGUUCAUCUGCCGAACUAGCUAUGCAAUAGAGGGAAGCCUGCUAAGUCACUGGGACAUGGAUGCAUUAGUCGUCAGUGUGUGGCGCAGAGGACUUCUAGGGACAAGUCCAGGAGACGAAAAUGCAAUAUUUAUAUUCUGUCUAUAUUUUGGUGAACCAUUGUUACUGUUGACAUUUAAGUGUGGGACAUUUCGCUUGUGCGGCAAAAGAUAUGUCAGGUGUGUAAUGGGGUCCCACAAAAAAUACCCAUGCUUUGUCUUGAGCUAUGUUCAUAGAGACAUGGCAAGGGGGGCCAGAAGACUGAUGAAAGUUGUGCCGGUGAUGGUCACAGUUUGGGAAAUAAUCGCUUGCUUCUGGAAUAAUUACAACUGCAACUUCCGGUCCUCAAGAUGCCUGCAGCAGACUACGAAUACAAGAAGUAUGCCGUCUGCCACAAGCUGGCGCCAUCGUUUAAAUCGUGUGAAUAAAGACUAUAUUCU